rnacentral:rRNA from 1 species
UGAGUAACACGUGGGUAACCUGCCCUAAAGUCUGGGAUACCACUUGGAAACAGGUGCUAAUACCGGAUAACAACAAUAGCUGCAUGGCUAUUGCUUAAAAGGCGGCGAAAGCUGUCGCUAAAGGAUGGACCCGCGGUGCAUUAGCUAGUUGGUAAGGUAAUGGCUUACCAAGGCGACGAUGCAUAGCCGAGUUGAGAGACUGAUCGGCCACAUUGGGACUGAGACACGGCCCAAACUCCUACGGGAGGCAGCAGUAGGGAAUCUUCCACAAUGGGCGAAAGCCUGAUGGAGCAACGCCGCGUGAGUGAAGAAGGUUUUCGGAUCGUAAAGCUCUGUUGUUGGUGAAGAAGGAUAGAGGUAGUAACUGGCCCCUAUUUGACGGUAAUCAACCAGAAAGUCACGGCUAACUACGUGCCAGCAGCCGCGGUAAUACGUAGGUGGCAAGCGUUGUCCGGAUUUAUUGGGCGUUAAGCGAGCGCAGGCGGAAAGAUAAGUCUGAUGUGAAAGCCCCCGGCUUAACCGAGGAAUUGCAUCGGAAACUGUGUUUCUUGAGUGCAGAAGAGGAGAGUGGAACUCCAUGUGUAGCGGUGGAAUGCGUAGAUAUAUGGAAGAACACCAGUGGCGAAGGCGGCUCUCUGGUCUGUAACUGACGCUGAGGCUCGAAAGCAUGGGCAGCGAACAGGAUUAGAUACCCUGGUAGUCCAUGCCGUAAA